rnacentral:rRNA from 1 species
UGACCUGCCGGACCUGACUGCUAUCGGAUUGGUACUAAGCCAUGCGAGUCGUUGUAGCAAUACAAGGCGGACUGCUCAGUAACACGUAGUUAACUUAACCUAUGGAUGGGCAUAACCUCGGGAAACUGAGAAUAAUACCCAAUGGACCACAGUGCCUGGAAUGGCCUGUGGUUGAAAUGAUUUAUCGCCGUAGGAUAGGACUGCGGCCUAUCAGCUUGUUGGUGAGGUAAUGGCCCACCAAGGCUAUAACAGGUACGGGCUCUGAGAGGAGGGGCCCGGAGAUGGGUACUGAGACACGGACCCAGGCCCUAUGGGGCGCAGCAGGCGAGAAACCUUUGCAAUGUGCGAAAGCACGACAAGGUUAAUCCGAGUGUCUCCUGCUAAAGGAGUCUUUUGUCAGUUGUAGAAUCACUGGUGAAUAAGGGGUGGGCAAGUUCUGGUGUCAGCCGCCGCGGUAAAACCAGCACCUCGAGUGGUCAGGAGGUUUAUUGGGCCUAAAGCAUCCGUAGCCGGUUGCAUAAGUUUUCGGUUAAAUCUAUGCGCUUAACGUAUAGGCCGCCGAAAAUACUGUGCAGCUAGGGAGUGGGAGAGGUCCCGGUACUCGAUAGGACGGGGUAAAUCCUUGAUCUUUGACGACACUGUGGCGAAGGC